rnacentral:rRNA from 1 species
AGUGAACGCUGGCGGUAGGCCUAACACAUGCAAGUCGAGCGGCAGCACAGUAAGAGCUUGCUCUUACGGGUGGCGAGUGGCGGACGGGUGAGGAAUACAUCGGAAUCUACUUUUUCGUGGGGGAUAACGUAGGGGAACUUACGCUAAUACCGCAUACGACCUACGGGUGAAAGCAGGGGAUCUUCGGACCUUGCGCGAUUGAAUGAGCCGAUGUCGGAUUAGCUAGUUGGCGGGGUAAAGGCCCACCAAGGCGACGAUCCGUAGCUGGUCUGAGAGGAUGAUCAGCCACACUGGAACUGAGACACGGUCCAGACUCCUACGGGAGGCAGCAGUGGGGAAUAUUGGACAAUGGGCGCAAGCCUGAUCCAGCCAUACCGCGUGGGUGAAGAAGGCCUUCGGGUUGUAAAGCCCUUUUGUUGGGAAAGAAAAGCAGCAGGUUAAUACCCCGCUGUUCUGACGGUACCCAAAGAAUAAGCACCGGCUAACUUCGUG